rnacentral:rRNA from 1 species
GAUGAACGCUGGCGGUAGGCCUAACACAUGCAAGUCGAACGGCAGCACAGGAGAGCUUGCUCUCUGGGUGGCGAGUGGCGGACGGGUGAGGAAUACAUCGGAAUCUACCUUUUCGUGGGGGAUAACGUAGGGAAACUUACGCUAAUACCGCAUACGAUCCAAGGGAUGAAAGCAGGGGACCUUGGGCCUUGUGCUCCUGG